UUCGGAUUGCAGCCUGCAACUCGGCUGCAUGAAGCUGGAAUCGCUAGUAAUCGCGGAUCAGCAUGCCGCGGUGAAUACGUUCCCGGGCCUUGUACACACCGCCCGUCACACCAUGGGAGCCGGUAAUACCCGAAGCCAGUAGUCUAACCGAAAGGAAGGAGCUGCCGAAGGCGGGGCAGGUAACUGGGGUGAAGUCGUAACAAGGUAAC
rnacentral:rRNA from 1 species